GACGAACGCUGGCGGCGUGCUUAACACAUGCAAGUCGAACGAUGAAGCUAGAGCUUGCUCUGGUGGAUUAGUGGCGAACGGGUGAGUAACACGUGAGUAACCUGCCCAUAAGACUGGGAUAACUCCGGGAAACCGGGGCUAAUACCGGAUAACAUUUUGAACCGCAUGGUUCGAAAUUGAAAGGCGGCUUCGGCUGUCACUUAUGGAUGGACCCGCGUCGCAUUAGCUAGUUGGUGAGGUAACGGCUCACCAAGGCAACGAUGCGUAGCCGACCUGAGAGGGUGAUCGGCCACACUGGGACUGAGACACGGCCCAGACUCCUACGGGAGGCAGCAGUAGGGAAUCUUCCGCAAUGGACGAAAGUCUGACGGAGCAACGCCGCGUGAGUGAUGAAGACUUUCGGGUCGUAAAACUCUGUUGUUAGGGAAGAACAAGUGCUAGUUGAAUAAGCUGGCACCUUGACGGUACCUAACCAGAAAGCCACGGCUAACUACGUGCCAGCAGCCGCCGUAA
rnacentral:rRNA from 1 species